rnacentral:lncRNA from 1 species
UCACACACAACUCAAUAAAUAUAAUAUGUGUAUCAUCAUCCCACUUAGCAUUGUCCGGCAUAACUGAAUAUAAAUAAUCUGAAGAAAGCAGAGCAACCAAAAAGCUAAGACUGAAUAUGUAAAAAUGGUAAUACCAGUACUUUUGUAUGUUAACUCAGAUCAAGCAUUAGGAAUAUUGCAUAAUGAAUAAGUUGGUUUAUGUAACUAAGAAUAUAUUCUAUACCAUCUGGAAAUUAAGUUUGUAUUGUAAUUAUUUAUACAAAGUAAAUCAAAUCUAUGUACUAAAGUAAUUUUAAUGGUAUUGUUUCCACUUGUACCAUCUGGAAGUUAAGUUUGUGUUGUAAUUAUUUAUACAAAGUAAAUCAAAUCUCUAUACUAAAGUAGUCUUAAUGGUGUUGCUUCCAUUUUACAACCAUCCUAUGCCAACACACAACAACAACAACAACAACAACAACUACCCAGUACAUU